AGGUUUGAAAUGUUUUCACCUAUGAAGAUGGGCUCUUAGAGCGCCGUUUUCUUCGUCAAUAAAGAAUGAGAUGAGUGGUUUGAGGGGAGAAUACUGAGAUAUGUUUUCAUGAUGAAAUACUGUCGCUCAGCCGGUAGCCUUUAUAUAUCUGGUUGGAUUGAGAAAACCUUUAUGGCUCUGACACACCAAGCCGACGGUCAGCCAUCGUGUGUCCCGCAUCGUCGACUCUAGUCUGCCCGUGUCUGAGUCUUUUCAGCCGAUUCAGCAUGUUGAAUCGGCGGCGGAACCUGUUGGUGAUAGAAAUCAAUCUGAUUGGCUGUUUAGCUUCAACGAAUCAGUGCACGAGAAGAGAAACGGACGUGAUGAAAGCAAGCCAACGAGUAAAGUCAAGACGGCAAACACAGAAGGCUCUCAUUUUUAAUCUUCAUCUCAUCUGAUCAUUCCAAUACACGGAUAUUAUCACGACUACAUGACCAUCUGGAAUGACGCCAAGUGAGAGCAGUUUGGCUGGACCAGACCGAGAGACCUCAUCGAUGCAGAGUGUCUUCCAGUGAGUUCACCAUCACCCUGUUGACCUUCAGCGUCCCCUCAUCCACUCUGAGCUUCGAGUCUCAGCAAAGCUGCCAGAGAGUUCUUCUGGAGGUCAGACGACAGCACCUCAGUGUAUCUUAGUCUACCUAGAUAUCACACACAUAUAUAAAACACACUAUUAGUACAUGUUGUAGAUGUAGAAAAACAC